UACGUAGGGGGCAAGCGUUGUCCGGAUUUAUUGGGCGUAAAGAGCGUGUAGGCGGCUAGGUAGGUCCGUUGUGAAAACUCGAGGCUCAACCUCGAGACGUCGAUGGAAACCAUCUAGCUAGAGUCCGGAAGAGGAGUGUGGAAUUCCCGGUGUAGCGGUGGAAUGCGCAGAUAUCGGGAGGAACACCAACGGCGAAAGCACUCUGCUGGGCCGACACUGACACUGAGAGACGAAAGCUAGGGGAGCGAAUGGG
rnacentral:rRNA from 1 species